AUGGCGGGUACCCCUAAUACCCCAUUUUUCUAUAUGUGUAAGUGCUUCUUUAGGGACCUCGGUGUUUGCUUACCAUUCACCGAGUUUGAGUGUGCUUUCCUCUGGUUUGUCAACGUGGCUCCUUGCCAAUUGCACCCAAUAGUUGGGGUUUUCUUAGGGUUUUUCAGGUUUUGUGCUCAGCCCUAGGAAUGAGUGUCUCUCUGCCUGUCUUUUUUCAUUUUUACCAACUAAAGUUGGGUGAGCCUUCCCUAGGUUGGGUGUCUCUAAAUGGGAGUAAGGUUGGGGGGUUGUUCUAGCUUUACUCUCAGUCUUACAAAAAUUUUAAGAAAGAGUUUUUCCGGGUCCGACCUACGAUUGCUGAUCCGAGGGAAGAGGUCAAGCUGUUUUUCAACGGAUCAAGCUGUCUCCAAUUAUCGAAUUCGGACAAGGAAGACAUCCUCAAAUUGGCCGAGCUUCCGCGUUCACUGGACAGCAAACUCGUCCUGUCUCUGGCCAAUUUGACUGAUAAACAAAGAGGUUUAGAGGGUCUGAUGGGGAAAAGUAAAUGGCGUGAGCUAAAGGCCAAAUUCAAAACGGAAGAGUUCGAGGUGCCCGAGCUUGGUGAAGAGGUGCCUGGCGAGGAGGUUGUCCCACUGGAGACUCACCGUAAGAGGAAGAGGGCGACAUAGGAGGUUGGUGGGACCUCGGCUCCUUCCGCUUUCGAUGAGGUGACAUCGAGGGCCGCCGCCAAGGGAGCCCGCGAUGGAGGUCGCUCCGGAGAGACAGGUUUUCCCUUUGCUUUGUGAAGUUCUCCUUUUGUCAUGUACCUUUCUUGAUUUGUUCUUAACAAUUUACUUUGAAUUUGAAUGUUUUGUAUGCGACUCCCGUGCCUUCCUCCGCUAAAGCUCGCAGGGAAGGUCCUAGGUGUUAACUCCAAAUUUUGUCUUCCUGUAUAAAUCAAAUUAUAUGAUAAAUUCCAGUCCAUACAUAUUACAAAAUAUAAUACAAAUUAAAAGCAAAAAACAAAAAAAUAAAAAUAAAAAAAACAAACAACAAAACAAAAUAGAAAAAUAAGAAAAAAAAAACAUGUUGCUCGUAUCUUCCAUUAUCCUCCGUGAACCCCAGCAACUGCUCCCCUCAACUACUCUGCUACAAUUCUCACAGAGCUACCUUACCACUGCAAAUAAAUCACCAUGCCCUGCAAAAA